rnacentral:snRNA from 1 species
AUGCUCGCUUCGGCAGCACCUAUACUAAAAUUGGAAUAAUCAGAGAAGAUUAGCAUGGCUCCCACACAAGGAUGACACACAAGUCUGUGAAACAUUCCAUAUUUUU